CCUCCCUUGACCUGCCCGACGUUAAUUUGUUAUAAGACAGUCAAACCAAUGGAGGAAAUUUAUGCUAAUGCUGAUUCUGUCUGCAACAUUUCAGUUGUAAAAGACAGAGAUAAGACAGUCAAACCAAUGGAGGAAAUUUAUGCUAAUGUUGAUUCUGUCCGCAACAUUUCAAUUGUAAAAGACA